rnacentral:sRNA from 1 species
GCCAGGGGUGGUAGCACACACCUGUAAUCCCAGCAGCUCUGGAGGCUGAGGCAGGAGGAUGGCAAGUUCAAAGCCAGCCUCAACAACUCAGCUAGGCACUGAGCAACUUAGCAAAAUUCUGUCUCAA